rnacentral:rRNA from 1 species
GGAAUAUUGGUCAAUGGGCGCGAGCCUGAACCAGCCAAGUAGCGUGCAGGAUGACUGCCCUAUGGGUUGUAAACUGCUUUUAUAGGGGAAUAAAGUGAGGAACGUGUUCCUUUUUGUAUGUACCCUAUGAAUAAGGACCGGCUAAUUCCGUGCCAGCAGCCGCGGUAAUACGGAAGGUCCGGGCGUUAUCCGGAUUUAUUGGGUUUAAAGGGAGCGCAGGCUGGAUUUUAAGCGUGUUGUGAAAUGUACCGGCUCAACCGGUGAUGUGCAGCGCGAACUGGAGUCCUUGAGUGAGUACGACGUCAGCGGAAUUCGUGGUGUAGCGGUGAAAUGCUUAGAUAUCACGAAGAACUGCGAUUGCGAAGGCAGCUGACGAGUCCUUAACUGACGCUAAAGCUCGAAAGUGCGGGUAUCGAACA